AGGUGUGAUCAUGCAAGAACUGAUCCACUGGAACCCUUUAGAAUUGUGAAGUUAAGCAUGGUUGAGUGAGAGUAGUACUAAGAUGGGUGACCUCUUGAGAAGUCCUCGUGUUACACCUU
rnacentral:rRNA from 2 species